GACGAACGCUGGCGGCGUGCCUAAUACAUGCAAGUCGAACGCAGUGGGGACGGGUGAGUAACACGUGGGUAACCUCCCAUCAGAGGGGAUAACACUUGGAAACAGGUGCUAAACCGAUACUGAUGGAUGGACCCGCGGUGCAUUAGCUAGGGGGUGAGGUAACGGCUCACAAAGGCCACGAUGCAUAGCGGACCGGAGAGGGUGACCGGCCACACUGGGACGGAGACACGGCCCAGACUCCGACGGGAGGCAGCAGUAGGGAAUCUUGGGCAAUGGACGAAAGUCUGACCGAGCCACGCCGCGUGAGUGAAGAAGGUCUUCGGAGUGUAAAACUCUGUUAUUAGGGAAGCGGUACCUAAUCAGAAAGCCACGGCUAACUACGUGCCAGCAGCCGCGGUAAGAC
rnacentral:rRNA from 1 species